CAGACUUUAGUAAGUGAUUUAAGGACUAUAUAAGAAAGAAAAAAGAAAAAAGAAAAUUAAAAAAACCCUCAACAGCAACAUUCAAAAUAGCAUAUCAGCAUGAAAAGACUCCCAAAGAAGCUUGUCCAAAACACUCAAAACACUCCUGGUGAGACUGACUCAUUUAUCGGCUGUAAUAGCAUCAGAUGAUAGACUUCAGAAAGUGAAGUGUUGCACAGUGGGAGAAUUCUAUUAGCAAACACCAAUUUACACCUCUGAAUUGCUGUGAAUAUUUGUUAACAUCUCCUGUAUGCUUUGUAGCUAUUAGCUGAUUAAUGAAAUCUUAAAGUGAAGCAAAAUAUGCAGUAUACAGUGAGCAGGUGUUGCCAUUCCCUUUUUGUAGAUGAUGGUGAAACUGAAGAGAGACUUACUUAUGUCAUUCCUGAUACUAGGCUGUUGAGUGACUGGAAAUGUUCCUGAAGAGUGUAUGCUGUGGCAGGUAACAUCUGGAUCUCCCACAUCAGAUGGUGAGAGACAAUAGUAUAAUGGAGUAAAUUUUGACUCGUGGUUAGAACAGAGGACUUGGAAUUUGCUGUUUUGAGAUCUGACACUAAAUCAUUUCCCAACCUUGCCAAAGUCAAUCGCAGUAGAUCUGACAAUUGUGACCAAGUUUAUUUGUAAAGAUUUGCUGCAUCCAUGCAAGGGAAAAGCAGAGCAGCUGGCCUAUAGCAAGGGAAAGCAUUAAGAAUCAAAAUAGAAUCGAACGGAAGACUUCCUGAAGCAGAGAUACAGUGUACUUCUCCCGGAAUACAACAAUAGGACUUCUAUGCCACUGUAAAAAAACAUCAUGAGUUUAUAACAGAGACAACAUAUCGUUCAUGGACAACAUAAGAAGUAUUUGGUAACAUCUGAAAAACACAGAAGUUUCUACAAAGGGAUCUUGCUGAUGAAAGUUUAAUCAGGAAUGAAAUUUGAAGUAUCGCUACAAGAAUAUUGCACCGUAAUUGGAAAAAGGAAAAAAAAUCUCAUAGCCUUCUGUGAAAAAGCAUCUCUUCAACUUGGGUUGAUUGGGAAAAGGGAAAGAAAAAGAAAGAAACACAGCAACAGCAACAAAAUGUAACACAAGAAAAAACUAACCAAAAUCCUCAUUUUUGUGAGCACUUCAGUGUUUUGAAUACAUGAUGCACAGUCAGUCCAUCCAGGCCUCAAAACAUUGAAGAUGCUUUGAAGGAAAGCUAUAUUGAUUUUAGAACUAUGUUGAGCUAUGAAGCUUUAUGUUUUAAUCCGAUUAAGGGGAAUUCUCAUCAGGUUUCCUAGCUGUGCUGAGGUUCCACUUCAGUGAUAUAACCUCUAUCUGCUUUAAAGGAAUCUAGCAGAGCUACAAGAUGUGGAGAGUCUGAAUUUGGAAGACUGAAGUUCUGAAAUCACCCAGGGAAAAGAUCGAGACUGUUUUUUUCCCCGUGAUGGUGGAAUGUACUUCCCUUGCAAGCAGAGAGGAAAAAUUGCUUCCCAAGGUAAUGAGAAUAGUAGCUAGAUGCUGCACCAGGGACAGUUCUGCUACUGGUUAUGCUACACAGACACAGGAUGUGAAAUCAUCUGAAUGGAAUAUGGAACCAAGCAUCGCCCUCAUGCAAGGAGCAUUCUGUGAAUGUGUCUCUUUUCUGACCACAUUGCCUCUCCAUUCUCAUCCAGCUUUUCUGAAAUGAAAUAGGAAGGCUUAAGAAUGCCACUGAAAGAACACAGGGCCUGUGACUGUUGGCAGUUUGUGUAUGAUUAGAGUCUCAUCUGAAGCUGAGGAAGUCAUUCUGUGGUAGCUGAGAGAAGCCACCUUAAAGAAGAAUGCUCGCAUAUGUGAUUAUACAUAUGGGUCCAGCCAUGAAGGAGGCACCUGACUUAAAAGUGUAUGCAGACUAAUGAAUUUAGUCUAGAAGAUUUUUAUUUGCCCUCAUACUGUAAUGAAUUUAGGCACAAUCUGGUUUAUGCAUGAUGUGCUGCAGGAUCAAGCUCAUUGGAAACACUGCGCAAAAGGCAUUCACAGAGGGAACUUCUGAGGACAGAAGAAUAGCUUUGGCCAAAAUGCCACCUGAGCAUCUCACAUAAGGUCCUGUGUACUACUGCUCCAUUCCUUACCUGCCAUCCUUAACUCUCAGGAUAUGUGGAUGGAAAAUGAUCAUCUGUGCAAGAUGUCAACAUAAUCCCUUUCAUUACUGUUAGAACUCAUAAUGUAAUUAAAACCCUGUCUUUGCCUCACACAUUGAGUUUUGACCAGUAUGAUGUUUCUGAGCAUCAAUAAUAAAACUGUGUUCAUGAACUUGUAUUCAAAACUAUACAAGAAGCAUUGAACUUCUCAAACUUUGGAUCUGAGCCUCUCAUUUUUUGUGAAGCAUUCGCUCUAUUUAAUUGCUUCAUCAGUUCCUGUCUUUACUAUCCUGCAUUUAGUCAAAUACAUUUUAUCAAAAUGGCUGCUAAGAGUUUUUUAAUUAGCACAGUUUGAAUGACUCCCUUACUAGUGGUUAAAGAGACUCUGUAGACAACAUAAAAUAGAUCUAAUGUGGGUUUUUUUUGUGUGAUUUACACCAAUACAGACUGUGAGUAUGUCAAGUCUCUUACAUCUGCUAUCCUCAUCUCUUGUAACAAUCACUUGGGACAAUUAUAACAAAACCUUAGUUGUAAGGUUGCUAAUUUAGCACUUAUUAGGUCCUUGGCUCAGAAUACCAGCUGUUUCCAAGUUAAAACCUUAAGGGAAAACGCACCUUGUAUUACAAAUAAAAAUAAAAAAAAUAAAGAAAUAGCAAUAUAUCUCUCCUCUUAAUAAAACAUAUUGAUGUUUUCUCUCAGAUCACCUGAGCAGUUAUUUGUGCCUAUUCUUUUUCCUUUUUUCCCCCCAAGUAUUUCUUCAAUGCCUAUCAUCCAAUCUAUCAUCUGAAACUGUUUCCUUACAGUCUUAGUUAAACUGAAAUGUUGGAGAAAAAUUAGCCCCCAGUGUUUUUCUAAUCAGCAGUUUGCCAAAAUUAAGGCUAAAUCCACCUUGCCUUCUUUUUAAUGAGUGUCCCAGGGAAAGUUUAGAAAAGCCAGAAAAGCUAAGAGAAUUUACUAAAUUCUCUAGCACUGCUAAUUGUGCACUUUUUCAUUAAAAACAAAACAAACAACAACAAGCUAGAAAUAUUUAACCAAAAGAGUUUAGCUUGUGGUUGUAUUUAAAACAAAACAACAAAACUGGAUAAGAAAUCACAGCUAAACAAAAAUAGAAAUUUUACCUUAAAUCACGACUUACUUGACUCCUGUUUAUUUAUUUAUUUACUGUUUAUGUUUCUUUUGCUGUAAGAAUUUUUAUGAUUUUUAUGUUUUUGGGUUAUUCUUCACUUUAAAUGUUCAUUCUAAAUAUGUUUGAUAAGAAUAAGCUUGACAAUUUUCGACUGGGUAUGUGUUUCAUACAUACAUUAGUUACGUAAAUACUCCCAGCUAAUAUAUAUUUUACAGUUUGUAUGCAAAACUAAUCUACGUGAGCCUUAGGAGAAAGAAUUGACAUAGUGGAAUAAGUUUCUCAGUAAGAAGCAGUAGAAUGUAGUUUUGCCUGACUUUUUGAGAUAUUUCUUCCACUUUUCUCUCUUAAAAUUACUCUGGCGCUACCCAUCUUAAAUUCCAGUUGACACAAACACUCCAGCAGAUAUUACUGUGGUUUGGAAUCUCUGUACUUUCUAGAUUUAUCAUCUGAAUGAAGCAGCUAAUGUUAGUAACUUAAAAAGUGAUGUUGCCGUUGUGAAUCUUACUGUUCAUAAAGCACUAUGGGGUUGUCAUAUAUUAGGAGAAACUCCCUCAAAGAGAAGAUAAUUUCUUUCAUUUUAUUUAUUUUGGUUUCCAAUCAAUUUUGAUGAACAACUCAAAGAUUUUUCUGUUUGAAAAAAUCAUUGUCCUUUUUAAAUCCAGUGGUAGAGUUUCACAUGAUAAUAGUAUCAUUUAAGGCAAAAGGUAGAAUCAGGAAUUGAGUUUUAUGUUCUGUAUUUAAGGGUCAAAAUACUUUACAAUGUGUGACAAGAAUGUUCUUUGCCAGCAUACAUUGGUAGCUGCAGAGUUAGGAAAUAGCCUUUCUUUUAAACUUUGUAAUGAAAAAUAAAACAUGAAAUUAUAUAGAUCAGAGAGAAACUAUGGUUAUGAAACAGUGCAAUAUGGUAAACACACUUGGCAAAUUCAGCACAGACUUUUCUGCACACGUCUGAUCCAUACUUUCUGUUCUUCUUUCCCUUGGGGGUGCCCGUUUAGGGGAGGGGCACAAAGCACUGGUACUUAUUUAAGCUUUGGUCUCUUAAAAUAAAUUUGUUCGACAGCAAGAAAUUAUCUUCUUACAGUAGUCAACCUGAUAAGACUGGAGGGAUUUACAUAAAACUCAAUAAGUUUUGAACUAUUUUUAGUCUGUAUCGGGACAGCUUGAUAAUUCUCUUUCUCCUUAUAGUCAUUUUUAUAUUUUUGCAGCUGUUACACUUUUUUCUUGUAAUUUCUCUAGUUUUGUGAAUAUUUUCUGCUUCCUCUUCAGGAUUAUUUUGCACAAAAAGAGUUUUUUUCCUCAUGUCUGUUUCUAAAACACCAGGUAGAGCUAAAGCUUCAUCUUUCUCUCUUUUAAGCCUUCUGUUAGAAAAAUAAAACAGCUACUCUCAUUUAGAAACAUGACUUGAGAAUACAACUAGAUGUGAGGUUGCCUGAGUGCAGUUAGAGUAUUAUUUGGCAGGUCAUAAUCAAAUAUCUUCAGUCCCAGUGUAAACAGAUUAUUGCAGUACAAGGAGAGACACUUGAUCAUCUAGAAUUGAUGACUCUUCAAAAUAACAUAGAUAUUUCAGUGAAAUAAGAAAGUACCUUGUAUUAGAAAUGAAGUUUACCCAAUAGAGAUGUGAGGUGCAAAGGAAAAAAGGAAAAGGUUUCUCCUAAUCGAUACAUCUAUGGCUUCUAAACCUGUGUAGGAACGGCAUCAGUACCUGAAUACAUUUUCAUUUUGUCAUGGUUCUAUGUUUUUUUUUUUUUUUUU